rnacentral:rRNA from 1 species
AAUCAACGCUGGCGGCGUGCCUAACACAUGCAAGUCGAACGCGAAAGGGGAGCAAUCCCUGAGUAGAGUGGCAAACGGGUGAGUAACACGUGGGUGACCUGCCUUCGAGUGGGGGAUAACGUCCCGAAAGGGACGCUAAUACCGCAUGACAUCCUGCUCUUGGAAGAGCGGAGAUCAAAGCUGGGGAUCGCAAGACCUGGCGCUUGAAGAGGGGCCCGCGCCUGAUUAGCUAGUUGGUAGGGUAACGGCCUACCAAGGCAACGAUCAGUAUCCGGCCUGAGAGGGCGGACGGACACACUGGGACUGAGACACGGCCCAGACUCCUACGGGAGGCAGCAGUGGGGAAUUGUUCGCAAUGGGCGCAAGCCUGACGACGCAACGCCGCGUGGAGGACGAAGAUCUUCGGGUCGUAAACUCCUGUCGAGUGGGAAGAAUGGAUC